GAACUCAAAAACCGGAUGAAGAUGAGGGGGAGACGGGUAGUCAAGUGGUAUGUAGAAGAGGCAUAUUUCGGUUUGUGCGUGAAUCUGACGCCUAGCUUUUGCUGUUGCUUAUGGCGGUUCGUUAGAUUCACGCACAAAUUCGUAAUAUGCCUUUUCAUUGUUUUCACCCCUGUCAUCGAAUUUGCUGUUUCAUCGGUUUAGGAUUCUUGCAAAUAGAAGAACCGCCAAGCCCUCCGAGGGUCUUCGAAAACACAAGCACCCCACUCCUUACUUUGAACCAGAUUUGUGAUAAAAUCAGCACAUUUGUUCCCUUCUCGAAAGACAUGAGAGAAGGUGAUUCUUCCAAACUUGGUAGCCAUAACCAUGCAGUCUUCCAAAAGGGUGCAUGUGGAGUCGUCCUUCCCGUUGUCGUUCUGCAUCAACUCAACCACCGUCUUGGAAUCCAAUUCAACGAUAAUCCGGUGAAGUCCCUUUUCAAGACAGAGUCGCUAAGUGUCCUACAUUAAGUGGUUAAAUUUUACAGUGCAAAUGAUUUGUGGUUUUGCUCCAAUGGAAUCUUUACAAUGGCAGACAAACUUGAUCUGCUUUGAGUCUCAUGAAAAUGAUAUGUGAACGAAAAGUGCAACGUCAAUGAUAAUUUAGGGACGAAAAGUGAGUAUGACCAACACGAUGAAUUCUACAAUUAUUCUAUAACUUAAGGACGAAAAGUGCAAUAUUUCCUUUGUAGAGUCUAAUGCAUUUUUUGAAGCCUGGAGAAGAGUUCAUUAACCAGUGAGGGAACCAACCAAUGAGCCGCCUAUCAUGCGAUGGAAGAAACCUCGUGCAGGUUGGAUUAAACUCAAUGUUGACACAACUUUUGACAAAGACUCUAAGAUCACAGGGAUGGGUUUCAUCUUGAGAGACUCCCUCGCAGCUAAACAAGAAAUAUGGAGUGGCCUUUAUCACCCAAAGAUUGGGAAGGCUGUCAGGAUAAGGGAUUCUCUAAAAUGGUUGAAGAGAAUGGGAGCGGACUCAAUCCUAAGGAAACUAAUUAAUAUAUUCUUCUGUAUUAGCUUUGCUUUUGUUAAACGAUUCGCGAACACGGCAACUCACUUGCUAGCCUGAGAAGCUUUGCUUUGGAUGUUGUUUGACUUGUCUUCUUAAUGAAAUGUUUGUUGUUUUGUU